ACCAGCUCUCAGUCAGCUGUCCAGCGUUUGCUUUCUGGAACAGUGUUACAGAGCUGGAAGAUGAAGUUUCUUUACAGUUUUGCAGCUCUGCUUGCUUUGUUUUAAAGUGUGUGGAUGCUGCAGCUGUAGAAUGAAGCCCAAUGAGAGUGAUCUGUUCUGGACUCGUCAGGACUGACCUAGUUGCGGGCAUCACAAA